AUGGAAUGAAAAAAAAACCAAAACAAAAAAGAAGGGAACCAGCAACGCCAUGUCCCAUUUUGGUGUUUCCACGAUAUUUGAGCCUUGUUUUCUUU
rnacentral:ribozyme from 1 species